AUAUCCGAUAAGUGGGUGUGCAUGUUGC
rnacentral:sRNA from 1 species